GACGUAGGGGACGAGCGUUGUCCGGAUUCAUUGGGCGUAAAGAGCGCGUAGGCGGCUAGAUAAGUCCGCCGUGAAAGUCCAGGGCUCAACCCUGGAAUGCCGGUGGAAACUGUCGGGCUAGAGUCCGGAAGAGGAGAGUGGAAUUCCUGGUGUAGCGGUGAAAUGCGCAGAUAUCAGGAAGAACACCCGUGGCGAAGGCGGCUCUCUGGGACGGUACUGACGCUGAGGAGCGAAAGCGUGGGGAGCGAACAGG
rnacentral:rRNA from 1 species